rnacentral:rRNA from 1 species
ACGGGAGGCAGCAGUGGGGAAUAUUGGGCAAUGGGCGAAAGCCUGACCCAGCAACGCCGCGUGAAGGAAGAAGGUUUUCGGAUUGUAAACUAUUUUAGACAGGGAAGAAAAUGACAGUACCUGUAGAAUAAGCUCCGGCUAACUACGUGCCAGCAGCCGCGGUAAUACGUAGGGAGCAAGCGUUAUCCGGAUUUAUUGGGUGUAAAGGGUGCGUAGACGGGAAAUCAAGUUAGUUGUGAAAGCCCUCGGCUUAACUGAGGAACUGCAACUAAAACUAAUUUUCUUGAGUGCAGGAGAGGAAAGCGGAAUUCCUAGUGUAGCGGUGAAAUGCGUAGAUAUUAGGAGGAACACCAGUGGCGAAGGCGGCUUUCUGGACUGUAACUGACGUUGAGGCACGAAAGUGUGGGGAGCAAACAGGAUUAGAUACCCUGGUA